rnacentral:tRNA from 1 species
GGGCCCGUAGCUCAGCCAGGAUAGAGCGGUGGCCUCCUAAGCCACAGGUCGGGGGUUCGAAUCCCCCCGGGCCCG